rnacentral:lncRNA from 1 species
GCUCAUCUAGCUGCUUUCUGGAAAGGCUGUGGCAAGAUUCAGCUCUCAUUCCAUCAGAUAUGCUGGCUGCUGUUGGUUUGGAGGAAGUUCUACACCGAGACUAGACUGAUGGAUGGAAUUUAAUCACUCCUAAAGAGGAAAGAAUCUAUGGUGCCACCUAGAGAACAGGAUUCUUGCUAUUCAAAGUGGUGGGGGGUGCCAGGGUUCACACCACGCCCUGGGUGCUCCCUGCCGAGCCCAGAGGCACAAAGAUAACAGAAUAUUAAACGAGGAAAGACUGGACACCGCAACUUCCCCACUGGUUCUGAUUGGAAGACUAAGGGAGAGGUCGCAGAAGCUCCCUGCCGAGCCCAGAGGCACAAAGAUAACAGAAUAUUAAACGAGGAAAGACUGGACACCGCAACUUCCCCACUGGUUCUGAUUGGAAGACUAAGGGAGAGGUCGCAGAAGGUAAAGAGGGCAUCCCUUGAAAUAGGAAGAAGAUAACAGUCCUCCUCUGACUGCAAGCUAAGUGAGGCUGCCGUGGUGGGGGGAGGGAGGGCAGCAG